rnacentral:rRNA from 1 species
GGCUUCGGCCCGAGUUGUAAUUUGUAGAGGAUGCUUUUGGUGAGGUGCCUUCUGAGUUCCCUGGAACGGGACGCCAGAGAGGGUGAGAGCCCCGUAUAGUCGGCCACCGAUCCUUUGUAAAGCUCCUUCGACGAGUCGAGUAGUUUGGGAAUGCUGCUCAAAAUGGGAGGUAUAUCUCUUCUAAAGCUAAAUAUUGGCCAGAGACCGAUAGCGCACAAGUAGAGUGAUCGAAAGAUGAAAAGCACUUUGAAAAGAGGGUUAAAUAGCACGUGAAAUUGUUGAAAGGGAAGCGCUUGUGACCAGACUUGUGCCGGGCUGAUCAUCCAGUGUUCUCACUGGUGCACUCGACCCGGCUCAGGCCAGCGUCGGUUCUCGCGGGGGGAUAAAAGCUUCGGGAACGUGGCACCUCCGGGUGUGUUAUAGCCCGUUGCU